rnacentral:lncRNA from 1 species
CUUAACCGGAGGAGGAGGGGACUUGUAUACGUAAUGUUUCUUUGGUGGUGGUGGGGAAUGGUAAACUGGAGGGGGAGAGUAGUGCUUCACCGGUGGUGGUGGAGAUUUGUACACGUAGUGUUUCUUUGGUGGGGGUGGGGAAUGGUAAACCGGAGGAGGAGAGUAGUGCUUAACUGGAGGAGGAGGAGAUUUGUACACGUAGUGUUUCUUUGGUGGUGGUGGGGAAUGGUAAACCGGAGGAGGAGAGUAGUGCUUAACCGGAGGAGGAGGAGAUUUGUACACGUAGUGUUUCUUUGGGGGUGGUGGGGAAUGGUAAACCGGAGGAGGUGAGUAGUGCUUCACCGGUGGUGGUGGAGAUUUGUAGACGUAAUGCUUUUUAGGUGGGGGUGGGGAAUGGUAAACCGGAGGGGGAGAGUAGUGCUUAACCGGAGGAGGAGGAGACUUGUAAACGUAAUGUUUUUUUGGUGGUGGUGGUGAGUGGUAAACCGGAGGGGGAGAGUAGUGCUUAACCGGAGGAGGAGGAGACUUGUAUACGUAAUGUUUCUUUGGUGGUGGUGGUGAGUGGUAAACCGGUGGGGGAGAGUAGUGCUUGACUGGAGGAGGGGGAGAUUUGUACACGUAGUGCUUCUUGGGUGGUGGUGGAG